AUGACAAUCUUCGCUGAAUCGUCCUCAGCAGCAGAGAAAUGGCAAGUGUCCUCUGUAAUUUCUUGAUAUUUGUGAGAGAAAGUGUGUUGAGACUUCAUCAUGUAUUGUCUUAAGACGCCAUAAAGUCAAUGUCACAGUGCCCCAUAGUGGAGACAGGACAUUGUUUUCUUUCUAUUUGUUUAACCAUUGCUUUGUGGUAUUCAUCUGCAGGCAGACAAAGUCUGUGGGCUGUGUUUUAGGACAUACUCUAAUCUAAAACAACAUCUCAGAGUGUCGCACACAGUCCCUAAUAAACAAGAAUUUGCACUUCUUAUGAAGUACGGGAACGCCAGGUAAUAACUUACAUUCACCCACAUGACAAAAGGGAACAUUUUGUUAGUCCAAAUUGUGCAGCCAUUCAUUCUGGAUUCCCUACUCCAGGACCACCGAGCGCCUCAACUGCAUUGUUUGUGAUAAAAGGAACCUUGUCAGAUUGGACAAGCACUUAAUAGAUGUGCAUCUGAUGCCUCCACAGGUAAGGGUAAAUGCAACGUAAUUCCUUUAAAUGUGGUGUGAAAUUGCAAUAGAAAUGAUUUUGUGUCCAAAUAUGUCACUUUAUAUCAAUAGGAUAGAGAAUUCAAGGUAAAGGAGGCCAAGCGCCGAUGUAUAAUAAAAGAAUUUGCAGCACUUAGGCGAACGCAUCCUCAAACCCCAAUGGUGUCCUCGCUGGACGUGCACAGCCAGUCCGAUGAAUGUAAAUUUACACUGUGGCGAAGCACCGGACAAAGAUGAGGAUGGCGGGUCAGAUGAGGCGGAGGGAGAGGUGGUCCUCCACGAGGACUCCGAGGCUGGCGACGACACCAUCGGGGUCCCUGUGCUGGCGUCUACGCCGCAACGAACAGUCGCCAGCCUCGGAGUCCCCGAACAGGCAGCCAUCGCCUGUCCUUCUGGGGCCCCCUCGGCCGUCGCCCCCUCGGCCAUCGCCCCACCUACUGGUGCCCCACCCACUGGUGUGGACACCGCCGCAGGUACUGGCCUCGCAACCAGCUCACCACAAGGUGCCACCGCUGCCUCCUCCAGUGGCAUUGGAUCAGUGUCCAGCUACGCCACUUCGACUUCUGUCCGUGAUAAAAGCUGCCAUUGCAGCUGUCAAAGGCUGGUGGAAAGGGUCAAGGCACUGGAAGAGACUGUUGGCCAGCUGCUCCAGCGACAAGAGGGCGCCAGCACCCCCAAAACCCCCAGGGGCGUGCCGGCGACCCUCACAACGUCUGCCCAGAAAUACGAGCAUGUCUCCAAGCUCGGAACAUCAUCUUAGUGGCACACAUUAAUGAACUGAACUGAACUGGGAGAUGCAUGGGACUGGGAGAUGCAUGUUAAUGGCCAAACACACUGAUGGCUGUUGGAAUGUAGUACCAAUCAUAUUUAUUGAGCUAGUCAUCAGAUGUGUCACUUGUGAACUGUACUGUGAUAUUCAUUAAUUUGUGUGUUUGUAUGUGUGUGUCUGACGUCUGAUGCCACAGACCAAGAAAUCGAGACCAGGAUUACAAAAUGGUUGCAGAAAGCACCCGAUGGGAACAGUGGAGGAAGUGAGUAAAUGAGAAUGAUGGACAAUGAGAGAAGCUCUCAUGCGUAAUGCAUUUUAGACUUUUGAUCUGAACUCUCUUCACCUUUUGUAAGGUGCUACUGCUGGUGGAACACAUGGAGACGUGAUGUUCCUAUGCAUGGUGUGAAAGUCUAUGCCAAGUUGUUUUGUCUAAAAUGUUCAACGUUGGUUUUUAAACUGAAGAUAUGGCAGUGAAUGUUAAAUUCGUAAUAAUGUUCUGUAGACUCUUGACAUGUUGUGUUUGCUGACAGAUGAUGUUGUAAGAAUAUGUCAAGGUAUUAUGCAACAUUCCACUGCAUUGUAUGUUUUUGAACAGUCUAUGCCAGUGGCUCUCAACUGAUGGGUCAGGACCCAAGUGUAUAUGUGAAUGGAAAAAAGUCAGACUUUUAUUUUGAAGUCUAUAAUUUCUGAUACUGUGCUUUUAUUAUGAAGGAUGUGUGUUUACCAUGAAUGCAGCAUGGCUGCAGUCAUAUACUGCCAACUAUACAACUUUUCAGUGUUAAAAUGUUGCCGCUUUUUGAAUUGUGAAAAAAGUACUGAAUGCUCUGAUGCAUAUUGCAUAACACUUUGCAUUGAUUAUUUAAUAUUGGAAAUGUAUUUUGGCAAUUAGCUGUGAAGAUAAAGUUAUUUGUAUAAUUGUACCACUGUUGUUUUUUAAUCUGGGCCAGAUGCAGCAUGGAUUAGGCUGACGUCUGGCCCAGCUCUAGUCCACAUGGGGCACUUGCACUUGGCUGACAUACUGCAAAGAAUGGCGUCCCCCCCAGUGGCCCAGAUCUGGUUUGCCAGAGUUGGCUCACACAUGGGCCAGCUCUGGGCCAACUGAGGUACUUGCAUUUGGGUGACAUACCGCAAAGAAUGACGGCCCCCCAGUGGCCCGGAUCUGGUUUGCCAGAGCUGGCUCACACAUGGGCCAGUUCUGGGCCAACUGCACACACAGUUGGUCCAGAACUGGCCCAUGUGUAAGCCAGCUCUGGCAAACCAUAAAAGUUAAUUUUGUAUACUUGAAUCUUUCGAAUUGGACUUUUUGUUUAAUUAAUUUUAAGUUUGUGGAUAAAAACUGAAGAAACUGAAUUUAUUCCAUAGUGCAAUGUUGGUUGCAGUGUUGGGUGUAACACUAGUAAUGUGAUUACAGUAACGCGUUCCUUUGUAACUGGGGGCUGUCAAUAAUGGAACAGUGAUUGGUUGGGGUUUGGCACGAGGUAUCUUUCACCAUCACCGAUUGGUUAGUCGCCACCCGCAAGGGGAGAUGGGAUAACAAUGGCAGCGUCAAACACGAGCAGAACAUGCUGCGGCAUGCGAUUUGCCGCUGUGUAAAGCCACUUUUGAUGGUUGGAGAUACAAACAUUAUUUUGAAUUUGUUGAACGUAAGUAAAAUAACUUGACUGUAAGGUGCACACUUUGCCCGUGCUGGAAACUUCUCUCCACCGCUGCUUACACUACCUCAAACUUAACGAAGCACCUACAGAGACAGCACGCAAACACAAAGCUUGUUGCUAAGGAACCGUGGAGUAACAUGAAUGUAACGAGUAAUGAACUAAUUACUUUCUUCAGGGAGUAAUCAUGUAAUGUAAGGCAUUACUAUUUUUGAGAGUAAUGUGUAAUGUGUAAUAAAUUACUUUUUUGAGUAACAAGCCCCAACACUGGUUGGUUGUCAUAGUUGCACUUUUUAUUUUAUUUUUAUUGUAUUUUUUAUUGCCAGAAUAAGUGACUGAAUAGUUUAAUAGUACAGUUACUGAAGUGUUAUGUUAUGUUAUGUUGAGUUGAAAUUUUUCUUUGAUUUGGGUAGCUUGUCAUUAAGGGGUGAUGGUGGGUCACAAAGCCAGACCAGUUGAGAACCACUGACCUAAAUGAUUAAAACCCAAGAAAGCCAUAAGACCCAGUUGUUACUUUUCUUGACAUAUACCCACUUUUCACAGAAGGGCUGACCUGCAUAACCUCAACACUGGUUGAAGUAUGUAUGAUAAAUAAACUGCAGAGAAGACAAACAGUGGAAAAACAGUGAAACACAAUAGUGGUUGUAAGGUCGAGAUUUAGAUCACUUUAUUUUAUUGUCCAUUGUGCAUGUCUUUCAUUAAUGAGCAAAUAAGUCUUAACUGCAAUUCCAGAAAACAGACACUGAAUUACACAAAGUUCAUAAUUGUAUUGAAUAACACAGGAAUCAGCGACCAGCUGAG
rnacentral:lncRNA from 1 species